rnacentral:lncRNA from 1 species
AUGGUACAGGAGAGGGAGAGAGGUGGGACUGCAGAGCCUCUCUGUCAGCACUGCUGAGAGACCAGCAACUUUUGGCUGCUCCUUUUCAAAUCAUCCCAUCCCAGUUGCUCAUGAGGACAACUUCCUUUAAAAAACAACAGGUGACUGAGGUUUUUCCCCCUCCUCUCUCCCAAUCCCCUUUCCUUAUAUGUUGUAUCUUUCAGAUUGUAAGCCUUAGGGCAGGGGCUGUCUUAUCAGUGUCUUUUCAGCUGGAUAAAAAUGCUGUGAAGGAAAAGCCACAGGUUAGGAAGAAUGCUUCUUUUUCCAAUGACACCCUGCAGUCCUCAGCACAGCUUCAACAAGAGCCUUGCUUUCACCAUGCUACGUCUCCAGCUGUGCAGACACACUAGAGAAGCAGAGGAGCCAGAGAGAGCAGAGCCCUGCUGGUUGGCUUGGCAUGCGGCUUCCUUAAGGUGCUUUCUCUGAGCUUGGCGUUUGACAGCUUUACUGGCAUGCGGGCCAGGCUGGAAGCAUUGUGGGCUAUUUACAGUGUUGAGGCCAUGACUUUGUGAUCAGACAGUUGACAUAAAUCCACAUGAUGGAUCAGUUAUCACUUCAUUGAGCUGGUGGCGGAUCCAUUGAAGGCUGGGCAAUAACAUACUGUUUCCUAGCUUUGCCCAGUGCUGGGAUACAUUAAAUACUCUUUAUUUAUGACCGACUGUUGUUGCACUGUGGGCUGGAGAAUGCAGCUUUUGCAACUAUCAUCUAAUUUUAUGAUGAACAUUAAAGCCGGGCCUAUAAUUUGCACCUUUUUAUUCAUUAGACAUCGGAACAGCCAUAAGUCAAGAAUGCCCAGGGAUUUAGAUGCAGAUCCAGAAGAUAAACUAUUGACAAGCCAGAUGUAUUUUUACAUUAGUGUGCCUUUACAAUAGUUUAUGUGGAGAGUGGAAUAUAAAUUGCAUUAUUAAAUAUGAACCGCUCUUGUAACCCACUAGCUUUGCUUCCUGAUGGGAAAGGAGCCUGUCUUUUUAAAAGUCAUUGGGAUGGGGAGCCGACUACUGAAUUUCUCAAGGUGAUUUCCCCCCCUUCUGAAUCCCCCAUCUCCAAAACCUCUCACUGUACCAGUAUUAAUUUAAGAUUGACCCUUUAUUAUGGCAGUGAAGUAAUUACUGGCAAACAGGAGUUUCCUUCCAUCCUUGAAGCUUUCAGCUAACACACUCAGCCUGCUGGGUGUCCAGGUAGUCUGCCAGGAUAGUUCUGCACCUCAGUUGCAAGAACUCCUGUGAGUACUUGGAGCUUUAUUGCUUGGGAAAGCUGCCCCAUUCCUCCCCAUUGAGUUAUAGGUCACAUGCCAUAUGCAGCUGAUCACUUACAGGCCUCUGGAUCAGGGUGCAUCGGCAUAUUUGCCAACCCCUAGAAUUCUUCACUGCAACACGCACACCCAAUUUUGAGAUGAGGACACUGACAUUCACUUCAAUAGAUAACAUUUUGUACUAUUCCUCCCCAUAUCCUACUAAUCAGGAAAACUUAAUUCAACCAGCGUUAUGCAAUACAUAAGCAAAUAAUUUACAAUUUAACCAGCAACUUCUUGUUCAUGGAAUGCCCAUUUUGCGAGGCUAGGAGGACAGGGAAGAUAGAAAGUUGAGAUGAUAGGUGUGAACUGCAACAAAACUUCGUAAUACUCAAAUUUCAUGAAUCUUUCCCUUCAGUGUGUGUGUGUGUGUGUGUGUGUGUGUGUGUGUGUGUGUGUCCGUGUCCGUGUCCCCCUAAGCAACUGCUGGAAGCUGUCUCUUGCAGGCUGUUUUUGCUUAAGUGUCCCCCUCUCCCCCUCUUCUCCACCAUAGAUGUACGCUCCAGAUUGCAGUUUCCUAUAGCUGCUUUGGAUUAAAACAAAACUCAAAUGAUUUAUUCCUGCCAUGGAUUGUCAGGUGACGUUUGAGCGCCAUUCCUAAGUGGUUGAGGAGGAAUCUCUCUGGUUGUACAGCAGUCUUAACUUGAUGGAAUGGUGAGGUGGGCUCUCCCUCUCCCUUGGCUGUGGGGCAAGCUGCUGCUCUCGUCUCCUGCAUCUGCUGCUUGAAGUAGCUUCGGCUGAUCCAUUUCCAGCCUCCAUAUUUCCUUGUUAGGCAGCUCCAGAUGCAGGAAGGGAAAAGCAAGAGCAAAGAGCCUAUUGCCACCCAGAAUCUUGUUCAUUUAUUUGUUUGAAUUGUGCUUUUCUCUUGGCUGUAUCUGGGAUUUCUCCCUUUUCUGUCCUGCUUCAGGGUAUAAGGAUGCCAGGAGUCAGAGUUCACUUACAGGGUGAUCCUGAGAAUAUGCUCAGGUCAAACAGAACAGGUAAAGCCCAGUAGUAGUUUGAGAUUCUGUGCACACAGGGUAGUAAGGUUGUCAGCAAAGAGGCAAGGUAGGUCAAGGAGCUGGAAUAAGGAAGUUGUUACCGCCAAAGAACAUAAGGUGAGCCUGCUGUGUCAGGUCAGUGGCCCAUCUAGUCCAUAUUUCUAUUCUGUCAGUGGCAAACCAGAUGCCGUAAUGGGAAGUCUGCAAGAAAGACCUGAGCACAGCAGCCCCCUUCCCACUUGUGGUACUGGUAUUCAGAAGCAUUACUCUCACCUACAGUGGAGGGAGAUCAGUAGUAGCUCUUGGUAGCCUCACCUUCAAAAAGAUUCUUUUGAAAUCUUCUGUGUAGUUAGAUUGCCUGAACCGAUCAUCAUUUGACUAGCUGCAUUUUGCAUCCAGAUUGUGUCUUGUCACACCUGUGUUGAGAGGUGUACCACAGUCUGGACCUCACAAUGGAGCAAUAAGAUGCCCACUUGCCAGGCAUUCGAUGCUCCUGUUCUCUCCCCUCAGCUACCCACCAAUAGCCAACCAAGAACAGCCAGGUGAGUCGGCUCAGAUACUUAUCUGUGCGUCUCCAGGCAUCAUUGAUAUUCCCUUGCUGGUGGCGCCGUCUUUCUUGGAGGGCAUUGAGUUUGCACUUAGUAUGCAGUUGAAAGUGUGAUGAUGAUGGCUUCUCGGAGAUUACAGUAGGGGUGGGUGGGCGGGGGUAGGACGAGUGGAGAGAGAGGAAGAAAUGAAACACAAAAUGAGCUGAAGGCCUGGGAGCACACCUGCUUCUCUGCAGCCACAGCCGCCACACUGUCUCCCUAGGAUAACAUUCUGUAAUGAGGCCUCUGAUGCAGCCAUUACUAUCAGUUUUAUUUGACUCAAGCUCCAUGGCUGAUGGCUCGGAGCACCAGUGAAUAAUCGGGGAGCAGCUGCCUUCCUCUGUGUGUGCAUUGGUGGGCAGAGAGAGAGCAGAGGGUGCACAGUGCACAUCCUAUCAAGCGCAAGCCUAGAAGACAGGAUAAGAUGACUUGAGUAUAUGCUGACCCUCUUCUGGGGGUGUGUUCACACAAAAGCUCCUUGCUUUCCUUCUACUCAUGGAAGUGAGGCAGGGUUCUACUGCCGCCUUUCAACAGCCUAAGAAUCUCUGCUGGAUUUGCAAAAGGAAUGUCAGGUCAUCACACUCUUCCAUGAGUUAUUGGCUUCUGGGUUUGGGAAAGGCAGUGAAUAUACAGGUUUGGCCAGCCUGCACACUAGUUGUGCGUACCAGCUGUGUAUGCACAGCACAGUGGUUCUCUUAAAGGCAGGAUAACCACAUACAUUUUUCUUGGGCUUUUAAUCCUCUUGCUCCAGGAGACUGCAAACAAAUUAUUUUUUAAUCUCUCUAUAUUUAUCUGUUUUAAAAGUGUGCGCAUGCACGCAUACACACAAAAUUAAUUUUAAAAAUGAAUGCAACAGUUUCAAAAAACAUUGCCCCCAAGUGUUGGCGAUCAGGCCAUGGGUGCAAAACCUGAAGUCUGAACAUGCACAGCAGCCUGUGUUCCAUUUAGAGCCCUGUGUGGAGCCUGAAAUGUUCAGCCUGACAUUAACAGCUGAUGCCCGGUGGUACGCUAGCCUUUUAGCCUCCCCCUCCCAUCAUUUCCUUCCUGCUGUGGCCUCAACAGCCCCAGGCAGUGACGGGUUAAAUGCUUUUGUUUCCGAGGUAAUACAGUUUAUAUGAUGGGCAUGAAUAAAAGAUGAUCGUGCCUGGGUAGCUGUCAGGCUUGUGUUUUUCCUCAGUAUAUAAAGGCUUCUACUGUUGCUUGACAGUAAAAGACUAUGUUUGGGAGCCGGGCGGGGGGGGGGGGUUCUCAAAGGAGCUAAAUAAAUAAGGGGUGCUUAUUUUUACACCAGGAAAGGCUGCUGGGAAGAGAGAAAGGGGCUUGUUUAUCUCUCUGAAAUCAUGGCCUUUGCUGGUGUUUCACUUAGAAAGGAUUUGCAUGUGUGCUAAUCAUUCACCUAGCUGGACGCUUUGCCCUUCCCAGUAAGCAGCUAUUGUAGUCUUAUCAGGACUUGCAAAUCCAGUGCAAAUAUUGGCCCUGUGUGGAUGCAUU